UUCACCAGACCAUGGAUCCCACAGCAGUGGGGACCUUACCUAGUCCUCUGAGUGUCUCAGUGCCCAGCACAAGGCCUGAAACAAGACAGUGCUCACAACAUGGUUUUUUGAGAUUUGGGAGAAGCUUGAUCCAAAAUUCAAGAGGUCACUGAGGCCAACAUGACUUCUCUUUUUUUGUUGCUUUCCCCAGGAAAAGGAUCUUUGGCCUUGGGCCAUCAUCUCAGUACCUUUUGAUGAAAGGAUAGUCGGACCUAUAGCACAAAAUGAGGAUCACAUAGCAGUGACGGUCAUCUUUGGCCUUUGACAUCCUUGGUCCAGUGCAGACCUGGAAAUCCCAGCAGUGCAGGGCAUUGAUUGGUGUUUGAGGAACCAAUGAACAGUCACAGCUUUGAGCUAAGUACUUUUUAAAAAUUUUUUUAUUUUUCACAAAGAGCUUCAGAAUGUAAGCAACUAAUCACUUCCCCACCCCAAAACAGCACAGCAAGACAGACAGUGUAGGGUAUCGGGACAUCAGCUCUUUCUUGUUUUCUAGAGUUCCUACAGCAGGCCUUAGUGAACCCAAAGCAAGGCCCGUGUGGUGUGUCUUCUGCAAACUGCAGGUGCUCAGUCCACACACAGCCGCACCAGCACUGCUGAUGUUUGGGGCAUCUGUCCAGAAUAUCCCACCUUGGAUCUCAAGAGGAAUCCAGACGGGGUUUAUUCUCCAGAGGCGGAGAGCAGGCACCAGGGCCAGAGGUGAAGGCCUCUGUACUGAAGGCCUCAUGUGACACCACAAAGGUCAAAUGUCUUGGCAUAAGACUAGAAAGGAAGCAGGGUGAAUGAUGAGGUCAAGGAACCUCUGGA